rnacentral:rRNA from 1 species
UACGAAGGGUGCAAGCGUUGUUCGGAAUUACUGGGCGUAAAGGGUGCGUAGGCGGCCUUGUAAGUCAGAAGUGAAAGCCCUGAGCUUAACUCAGGAAUUGCUUUUGAAACUACAAGGCUCGAGUAUAGGAGAGGUAAGCGGAAUUCCCAGUGUAGAGGUGAAAUUCGUAGAUAUUGGGAAGAACAUCAAUGGCGAAGGCAGCUUACUGGACUAUUACUGACGCUGAGGCACGAAAGCGUGGGGAGCAAACAGG